UGGGGAAUCUUGCACAAUGGGGGAAACCCUGAUGCAGCGACGCCGCGUGAGCGAUGAAGCCCUUCGGGGUGUAAAGCUCUUUCGGCAGGGAAGAUUAUGACGGUACCUGCAGAAGCAGCUGCGGCUAACUACGUGCCAGCAGCCGCGGUAAUACGUAGGCAGCAAGCGUUGUUCGGAGUUACUGGGCGUAAAGGGUGUGUAGGCGGUUGUUUAAGUUUGGUGUGAAAUCUCCCGGCUCAACUGGGAGGGUGCGCCGAAUACUGAAUGACUAGAGUGCGGGAGAGGAAAGUGGAAUUCCUGGUGUAGCGGUGAAAUGCGUAGAUAUCAGGAGGAACACCGGUGGUGUAGACGGCUUUCUGGACCGUAACUGACGCUGAGACACGAAAGCGUGGGUAGCAAACA
rnacentral:rRNA from 1 species